rnacentral:lncRNA from 1 species
UCUCUUCUCAAAAUUAAUUAAAUCUUCUAAAUUAUUAGGUCUCUAAAAUGAACUGGUUAUGGUGAUGAUUAGAUCAUAGCCUCCCAUUAAGAUGAAUGAUAAUGGAUCCAUUAUUUCUAAUUGAUAUUGUAGGCGCUAUCCGUCUGGUGUUCUCUCUGAACGAUGGAAUUAUCAUUUAUCAUAUGAUGACUCUGUCAAACUAUCUGAUGGUGGUUGG